rnacentral:lncRNA from 1 species
AAGCAAUUUGCUCAUAGCCAUAGCUUUCUUGUGAAAGUAGGAUAUUAACCCAGGUGUCUUGGUGCUGGAGAACAGAACUGGCCAGAGUCCAUCCUGUCUCCCACCGGCAUCCCAUUACGAAAUGAACACAGAAAAGGCAGGUCUGCAAUGCCAACAUCUAGUAUCUAUCCCAAAGACCAGGGAGAAAGGAAGGAAAGAUUCUGGUUCUGUCCUCUUCCCCAAGGCAAGGCUGGCUGCCCUACCAACAGAGGCAAAGAGAAGAGUGUGCAAGGCUGGCUGCCCUCCCAACAGAGGCAAAGAGGAGUGUGUGUUGAAAUAUCCAUUGAAUCCCUGAGACAACUGGAUCCUGGCCCAUUGAAUCAUAAACUCAAAUCUCACAUCAUAACCCCAAAUGACCUGUUACUCACCAUGUGGCCCAGCUGUCUUCAAACUCACCAGCCUCCUGCCUUAGCCUUCUAAAUGCUUGGAUUACAGGCAUGACCCACCAUAACUGGCUUUGUUUUAGUUUCAGAGAAGAUGAAACUGAUGUGCGUCAAAAAGUUAUGGAGGCUGGGAAGACCUAGAAUGUGGCAUCACUAUUUGGAAACCAUGCCGAUUACCGACCGAGCUCUCAAUGGAAAAAUGCAGUCGGCGUGAACCACGCACGAACACAGCAGAGAAAGAAGAAAACACACACCACGAGGAACCCUAAUAGGACAAUACAUUAUAAGUCACAGUGCUACGGAGAAACCCAGUAGCCACAUGGAAGCAGAGACCAUGCAUAUGCAUCUACUCCGCAGCUCUGUGAAUGUCAGCAGCUCCCACGGACUGGAGAUCCCGUGAGAUCCCGUGAGAUCUCACCCAUAGCCUCAUGGUACAUCCACUUGGUGUGCUGGGAGAGUCAGGAUGAGGACCUGAGAAGAACAGCAGCUUGAACCUGACUUCAUUUAACAGCCCACUGCCCUCUUGCCAAGAACCCAUCACAGACCUUCCCAGAAGAGAGGGAUGAGCCUCACCUAUGAAUAAGUCCUCAGAAACUCAAAUUUGAUUCUAAUGGAUUGUUUUCUCAGAAAGACUGAGCAUGUCCCCCCACAUCUCUGUCAUUUCCCACAGUAGUAACCUCUGCAGAUGCCACAUAGAAAACAAAACAAAACAAAAAAACAUGAGGUUGGUGGGCAGAUAGGCAGGGUAUAAACAAACAGCCUUGUAACCCAGAAGCUGUGUGAUAUACAGUAAACUUCACAACACUGAAAAGAUGUCCUAUCUGUUAAAAUGGGGUAAUAACAACUACCCGAAUGUUUAGGAAUAGAACUUCAAUAAAUGAUACAUUUUAUAGUACAGCAGACCAUCCUGUAAAGGUUUCAUCCUUCACUGUGGUGAUAAAUAUCCCAAACCACAUUGAAAAGCAUUGCAUCUACAUUUAUCUACACUGUAACUGUACUGUAAAUCAUGGGGGAGGGGAGAAUCAUAAAAACACCACCUGUCACCGUGUCAUUAAAGCAAGUUGGAAGUGAUACUUACAGAAACACAGCAAGAGCACCCCCAGUCACACAGUUCAAUCUCUUAGCAAGCGUUUUCUUUCUAGCCCAGUGGUUCUCAGUUUGGAAUUUUUGGCACUGCCUAGAGAUAGUUUUGUUGUUAAAACUGAGAAAAGAGCCGGGCGUGGUGGCACACGCCUUUAAUCCCAGCACUCAGGAGGCAGAGGCAGG